ensembl:lncRNA
CUACGGUCCACGCAGACAAGCCGCGCGCGACACGUCCUCCGCCGUCGGGCGUCUGUGUGCGCGCGCGCCCCCGCCGCCGCUGGAUGGUCCGGCCGCGAGUCUCGGGGACGGGAAGCUUCAUUUAGCGCGGUUUGUCGGAAGAUGUCCAACUCUGGAUCGAGAACAGGAGUCACGAGUGGAGCUGCGAGUCUGAGCAGUGGCAGUUACUGUUGGAAUCCAAAGGGCAAGUUUCUUCUGGAUCAAUAUUCCAGUGAUCAACUGGGACUGUACACACUGAUGUCACUGACUGUGAGGCGCAGUGUUGAGCCCAGGUAGAACCUCCUAUGAUUCGAGACCAUCUCCCCCCCUUCCAGCAGCAGCUGCAGGACUAAGGGAUGACACACACCUUGCUCCUCCUGACCCUGCUCACGCUCUCCUCUAGCAUCCAGGUGUCUCCUGCUAAAACCCUCAAGAACGUUGUGGCGAAAUGGACCAUGUAUAAGGACGAGUGCAGCCGCAACAUCAGCAGAGAACCUCUGCUCACUGGUUUGGUCUGUAACAGGACAUUUGACAGGUAUGCCUGUUGGCCUGAUGGGCUGCCCAACACCACUGUCAGUGUGCCCUGUCCCUGGUACCUGCCGUGGUAUCACCAAGUCCGGCAAGGAUUUGUGUAUCAAGAAUGUGAUGCCAACGGCCAGUGGGUGUCCAUUAGGAACACAAGCGAGUGUGAACCGAAGGACCAAACGCAAGACACCUCGUAUGGAAGGAUCCUCAACAUGUUUCGGGCUGUGUACACCGUGGGCUACUCUCUCUCGCUGGGGGCGUUGGUGCUGGCACUGGGCAUCCUGGUGGCAUUCAGGAAGCUGCACUGUAUGAGGAACAACAUUCACAUGAACCUGUUUGCCUCUUUCAUCCUGCGAGCGCUGGCAAUCCUCAUCAAAGAUGCCCUGCUGGAGACCCCCACCAUUGGCCAGGACAUCUCCACUGACUAUGAAGUAGAGUUACUAGUCAAUAAUGAGGUCACCAUUGGGUGUCGCGUUGCCGUAGUGAUGAUGCAGUACAGCAUAAUUGCCAAUAGUUACUGGCUGCUCGUGGAGGGAAUCUACCUGCAUAACCUGCUGGUCGUCACAGUUCUGACGGAAAAGAACUACUUCAGCAUAUACCUGUGCAUUGGCUGGGGAGCCCCUCUGAUAUUCGUGUUCCCUUGGGUUAUUGUGAAGUACCUGUAUGAGAAUGAGGAGUGCUGGGAGCAAAACAUAAACCUGAAAUACUGGUGGAUCAUCCGCUCACCUAUACUGCUGGCAGUUCUGAUUAACUUCUUCAUCUUCUUGCACAUUGUGAAGAUACUUGUGUCCAAGCUGAGAGCUCAUCAAAUGAGAUACUCAGACUACAAGUUCAGACUGGCCAAGUCCACCCUCACCCUCAUCCCUCUGCUUGGUAUUCAUUUGGUCCUCUUUUCCUUCGUCACGGACGAGUCUACCUCAAAUGGCGCUGUAGCUCUGCGCCUCACUAAGCUCUUCAUUGACCUCUUCUUCAAUUCUUUCCAGGGUCUCCUUGUGGCUAUUUUAUACUGCUUCGUCAACAAAGAGGUUCAGUCUGAGAUCUUGAAGAAGUGGAAACGCUGGAAGCUGGGCAGGAAUAUAGAGGAAGAGUACCGUCACACAUACAGCCACACCGCUCACGUCAGGGGUGGCAGCAUUUUGGCUCAGCCCUCUGCCAUGCCCAGACUGCCAGACAUCACUGCCACCAAAUCCCCGCCCUGCAGCCUGGAGGAGAAACAAGCUCUGGUGGCUGGCUGCCAGAACGGAAUGGGCCGAAAACAGGCAGGCUGCUGCUUCAUCACCACGCCACGAGAGGGUGCCACCAACUGCAGCCUGCUAUCUGAGAACAUCUUACUGAUGGACAAGGUGCAAGGUUAUGAGACCCCGCGGGGGAGCGCGAGUGCGGAGAGUACACACUGAAGUGCAGGGGAGCAUCCAGUGUGAAUUACAGGGCGUCGGCCCCACCUGGUCCUCACACGCGUCCACGUCCUCCCGCUGCUGUACCACGUUGAAUGACCUGAGCUGGGUUGGGACGGGUGUGUGGUCGCCCAGCACGUCCGUCUGUGUGUGUGUAUGUGUUUAUGUGUGUGUGAGAGUGUGUGCGGAGAGCACUACUCUGUUCACUCCAUGGCUCCAUACGACAGGCAGGACCAUUGAUGUGUGUCCAGUUUUGGACCAGUGACGUUCCAUGUGUGUCUGGUCCUCGUGUCAGAGAUCAUGUGAAACCAAAACUGCACGCAGGUGAACCAAAAAAAAAAAAAAAAAACCUGUUACGCUGAUUUUCAUAAAAAAACAUUCAGAAAAUGUCAAUAUGUUGAAAACUCAAAAAAACAUCUAUUAACUGUACAGAAGUCAUGAAGUCAAAGUCAAAGUCCAGGAAAAGACAUGUUUGUGCUGGUCUUAGUAGAGAUAGAAGGAUGGACAGAGUCCUGCUGUGGUUCUGGACUGAGCCUCCCUUACCCGCUGGACCCUGCACGGCUCGGCAGCUGCUCCACCUACAAUAAAGUACCCAGAAUGUCUCUUGCA